rfam:Trichuris muris Edinburgh genomic scaffold, scaffold233
AACAAUGCAGAUAAGGGAAGUCGGCAAAACGGAUCCGUACCUUCGGAACAAGGAUUGGCUCUAAGGGCUGAACCGGUCGGGCUGAUGCUUCGAUGCGUGUCUGGUGCGGUCGCUGGCUGCCGGUUGGAGGAGCGGUCCGUUCGCCCGGCGUUGGGCUCCCGUCGAUUGCUUGAGCGGCUCUGUCGCGUUGGGCGUCGGCGAUUCGGAUGCGCUUCGCCGGAGCGCGGUCCUUCUGAAGCCGCAGACGGUAACGAAGCCUGCACGCGGACGACUUCAGCUGUGUGCGCUUGCCGGUAACUGACAAGCCGCUUCGUCCGGCAUUGAACUGCCGACUUAGAACUGGCACGGACCCGAGGAAUCGGACUGUAUAAUUAAAACAAAGCAUUCCGACGGCUGGUGAUCGGUGAAGAGGAAAUACGCAUUUGGAGCGAAGAUCGAGGAUAUUUGAAGAAAUUUCGAGGUAAUAUGCGCUAU